rnacentral:rRNA from 1 species
UACGUAGGGUGCGAGCGUUAAUCGGAAUUACUGGGCGUAAAGCGUGCGCAGGCGGCUUUGCAAGACAGAUGUGAAAUCCCCGGGCUCAACCUGGGAACUGCAUUUGUGACUGCAAGGCUAGAGUACGGCAGAGGGGGAUGGAAUUCCGCGUGUAGCAGUGAAAUGCGUAGAUAUGCGGAGGAACACCCAUGGCGAAGGCAAUCCCCUGGGCCUGUACUGACGCUCAUGCACGAAAGCGUGGGGAGCAAACAGG